AGCACAAUAGCAAACACGGCAAGGCCUACAAGAGGAGAGGAAAGAGAGGAGAAUGGUCAAGGCUGCCGCGCAUCGUCAUCACUAGGCAUCAGUCAGUCGAGGGGGGAGGACGAAGAGGUGCUGAGGAGAGAGAAGCUUCACAGAGCUUUGCUUGGUUGGGGUUGGAGCCCUGGGGGCGUGCCAGCCGAGCUGUCCGUCUCUCUCUCUCCAUUCCACCACCCACCAGCUACUACUACCUCGGGAGGGCAAGGGGAAAAUCUGCGGCCUCCUUUCCCGAGCCCGGUUGGAUGGAGAGGGACUUCCUGGCCGCGAUCGGCAAGGAGCACCCGCACCCGCACAAGGAGAAGGCAGCUGGCGCGGCGGAGGAUUCAGGUAUGCUCCCCGGCCUCCUUUCGCCGCCUGCCGCGCUCUGUUUCUUGAUCUGUGCCCGCACCCAGCCGUGGCCUAGUUUCUUCUUGCCGUGCUUGGUUGGGUUCGCUCAAUUCGUUUCGGCGAGAUGCGGCAUGGGUGCGCUGCGAAAUUCAAGCGCCCCCUUCUCUCUCUCUCUCUUUCUCCCCUGUUUUUCUUUUUUUUUCUUUGUUACUAGCUUUACUUUAUCCUGGCAACAAAAGAGUGCGGUGCGGUGCGGGCAUGGCUGUCUGGCAUUAAGUAUCAAAUUUAAUUAUCAAAUAAAUAAAGAAAAGGAUCCAAAUGAAAUCAAGAUCUAGACUUAGGGUUUUAUCUGACAGAAUUCCACGAGUUUUGGUGUUUGUCUAUUUCUGCAGGGGGUUAUCAGGAAAUAUGGAAGAAAGGCCCACAUGUCAGGAUUACGUAAAGAUAUUAACGUGCUGCGCAAUUAUCUUACAUCUAGAAGACUCCAGAAGCCACGAGACCGAAGCGGAGGCGAAACGGGGCCAGAGGCAGGGCGCCCGCCCUGUCCUACUAGGCGCCCGCCCCCUGUCCAAGUCCAAUCAGGACUCUGCUUUGCGGGAAGUCUCCACCGACCUAAAGGAUGAAUCUAAACCAUACAAUCUAUGUCGGUUUGAUCCAAGGGCCCAUAUUCACUUGAAGGGACUAUAAAACCAGACCCCCUGGCCCCUAGAGGAGAGAGCCUCUCAACCCUAAUUCAUUGUUCCAUCAAGGGAGAAGAAGCCUCUGAUCAAGAUUAGAGCCACCACAUCAAUUAGAUAUCUAGAUUAGCAUAGCUACAUAGGAUUAGAACUAGAAGGAGUCAAUCUUCGAUUGGUUUCCGGAUCUGUCAGGAGGAUUCUUGGUAAUUCUCUAAUUGUGUUUCUAAUUACUUUCUAAUUAUCUUUGUUCUUCAAUAUUAUGAAUAUGACUUUGUUCUACUUCAAUAUAUUGCUUAUGACUUUGCUCUACUUGCUUAUAUUCAAGAUUAUAUUGUUCUUAGUUUAUCAUAGUUAUGUACUUGGCUUAGUUAGAUACGAUCUAUAUACAUGCUUAGGAUCGUAUAGUGUUUAUCCAUCGGAUCCAUGGGUAAAUGAUAGAUAUUGUGUAGGCGUGGUGCUUAUACCGUAUUUAUCUGCGAUUGUACCCAAUAUGCCAGAUCGUGGGGUGGUUCGUGAUAGUGACAGCUUCAUUGAUUCUUAUAUAGUCCCCCUCUCGUGUAUUGGGCUGGCAGAGCAACAUUAUUACAGGGGAGUGAUUGCUAUGUUUCUCAUAUUCCUUGCUAAUAUCACUAUGCAUGGGCGUAGUCUUGUCUCACAAUGAUUGCUAAGUAUGCUUGCACUAACUAUGAUAAUGCUAGACUAUAUAGUUGAGAAUAACUUAGGGAAUAUUCUUGUAGUUCGUUCUAAUACCAUGCUAAUGACUUUCUAGAGUAUCUAAUUGAGGUGCUUAUCAUAUUUAUUAUGUGGCUAGAUCAGAUUAGUUAUCCUUGUCACUAUUAUUAUUUCAUAUACCUUUUAUGUGACACUUAUCCCUGUAUGAUGAGUUAGAUAUAAUGUUCUCAAUUAUACAUGCAAUGAUAGAUGCUCAAUCUCAUAUUCUAUUCUGUAAUCAAUAUUGAUGAUUGCUAAUCCCUUUCCAGUGGUAAAAAUAUAAAUAACGAUACCUGGAAUACUUCCCGGUUAAAAUGCUGCAUCGGUAUUAAUCUGUGCGCUUGCAGAUCCCAUUCAUUAUUAGAAGAGCAAUUGCAUAUUUCAAUACCGCGUCUCUUAUAUCAUGCUGGGGAUGACAACUUGGCUUAAGUGGUGUAAGGGAUAGGUUUGGCAUUUUUGGCACCGUUACUAGAUUUAGAGAACUUAGUCUACUUUUAGUAAUGAUGUUAAGAAUACCCAACAAGCAUUUUUGGCGCCGUUGCCGGGGAAGGUUGAUUACUAAUCAGGAAUGGAAUAAAAGAUUUUGAGUUAAAAUUAGCAUCACUAAUAUGAUUGAGCUUAUCUAUUCUCUCAUACAGUUUUACCCCGAUAUUUUUCUAUUUUAUCUUAUGCAGGGGAAUGUAUGAAUAGAAGACAUCUUCCAGGAAAUUUUGUUGACAAUCUCGAAGCAUUAUUCAAGAAGACGAGAGCCAAGCUAAAGAAAUCAUCAACACUUCACGAAGAAGCUUCAUCCAAUCAAGAAGAUCACCGGAACUUGUCUUCAGAGUUCGAAGCCAUGGCGAACAAAUCAAUCCGCGAGUUCUCAGCUCCCACUACGGACAACAUCCGCACUGGACCUGCUGCAGAGAUCGAUGGCAACUUGGAGCUCAAGCCUAGACUUAUCAACAUGGUGCAAUCCAACCAGUUCUGUGGGAAGGCACACGAAGAUGCUAGUGCUCAUUUACAACACUUCCUGGAGAUUUGCAACACAUUCACCAUAGCAGGAGUUUCCAAAGACGCUAUACUACUUCGCCUCUUCCCAUUCUCACUGUUAGGAAGAGCGAAGCAGUGGUUCUACGCUACAAAGGAGAAGAAUACUACGUGGGCACUCUGCUCAACAAACUUCCUGGCUAAGUUCUUUCCCAUGGGCAAGACCAAUGCUCUCCGUGGGAAGAUUACAAGUUUUCAGCAACAAAAUGAUGAAUCUGUUCCAGAAGCAUGGGAGCGCUUUCAAGACUACAUCCUAGAAUGUCCCCAUCAUGGAAUGGAGAGUUGGCUAUUGAUGCAGACGUUCUAUCAUGGGCUCAGCAACAGUGCCCGAGAGACCAUGGAUGCUGCAGCUGGAGGAGCAUUCUUAUCACUUACUAUACCACAAGCCACAGCUCUUGUGGAGAAGAUGGCGUCCAACCAAAGCUGGAAUGAAGAGAGGACCCAGACACGCAAGAGAGGUGGAGGUAUACAUCAGCUGAAGGAGGUAGACAUGCUGUCUGCAAAGCUAGACCUGCUCAUGAAGAAGCUCGAUGAUAGAGCUGGAGACAAGAAAGAAGUUAUGCACAUCUACGACUCUCACAUGACUUGUGAGGAGUGUGGAGACACUGGACACUCAGGCAACCACUGCCCUGAGAUACUUGAGGAUGUGAACUACAUCAACAACAACAACAACAACUACUACAACCGUCCUCAACAAAAUCAAGGUUGGAAUCAACAGAGGCCUAACUACUCAGGUAAUUAUCAAGGUAACAAUUCUUACAACAACAACAAUAAUUUUCCACCUUUGAGAGAGUUAGUAUCUAAUCAAGGAAAGCUAAUGGAUAACCUAUCUAAGAAAUUGGCAUCUAAUGAUAAAAUGCUAGAAAAUAUAAAUAAUAGAAUGGAUAAAUUCUCUACUGCCAUCAAGAAUCAAAUUAGCUUUAAUAAAAUGAUUGAAUCUCAGUUAAAUCAAAUAGCUGCUGUUGUUCCUACUACUAACCCCGGUAUACCAUCACAACCGGAAGGAUUAGAAUCUGCAAAUCUUGUAGACAUGUUUGAUGCAGGUAAUUGGAGUAACCCCGUCACUGAAUUUUCUACUGACCUUCUGCCGGUCAAGAGAGGCGAUCCAGGACGUCCCGUCAUCCCGAUCUCCAUCGGCAUGGUGGACUUCCCAGAAGCACUCUGUGACUUUGGCUCUAGUGUCAACAUUAUACCCAUGGUACUCUAUGAAAAAUUCUUUACAUAUCCUUUAUUAGAGACAACCAUGUGUUUUUGCAGUUUGCAGAUCAGACGAUAACUUUUCCAAAAGGAAUAGUGAAGAACCUUUGUGUUCGAGUUGGUACCUUAUAUGCCCCAGCAGACUUCGUAGUGGUAGAGACCGGAAAUGACGAGAGAGCACCUAUCAUCCUAGGGAGGCCAUUCUUGAACACAACGGGAGCUAUCAUCUACGCCAGUGCUGCCAAGAUCAGUUUCUACGUCAAAGGGAAGAAGGAGACAUUUUUCUUCAAGAACAAGACUACACAAAUUCCAGAUCAAUCCAGACGUGAAUCAAGGAAGAGGACCAACAGGAGGAACAGGAACAAGCAAGUGUGGACCGAGUCAGCUAAGAUGGUCACUGUAGUCCAUGGAGGCCAAGAUCAGCAACUGAAGUCACCGUUUUUGACCAAGAAGGACGACCCAGGAAUGCCAAGCAUUUACUGCUCCAUAAAUAGAUAUAACUUCUACAAGACGAUUUGCGACACCGGAUCAGGCGUCAACAUAAUGGCCGCAGUCACCUAUCGGCUCUUGUUCGGAACCAUGCCACUAAAACCAACAUACAUUCAGCUCCAGAUGGCAGAUCAGACAUUUCGAGAAGUUCAAGGAAUAGUAUCUGAUGUCCCAGUCAAAAUAGACGAUCACUUUGUCUACACAGACUUUCAAGUUGUUGACAUGGGAGAAGACGAGUAUGAUCCACCCAUCAUCCUUGGAAGGUCGUUCCUCAGCACCGUUAAAGCAAUUAUCUACAUUGGAACCGGAGAAGUCCAUAUGCACUUCCCCUCAGAGAAGGUACGCCGUUAUUUUACUGACCCUAACUAUAUCGUUGAAGAAUCUAAGCAGGUCAGAAAGAGACGCAACCGCAACCAGAGGAGGCAGAUCAUCAAGGACGGAUGGGCAGACUAUGAAGGAGAAGUUGUAAGGUCAGAAAACGUAGAGUUUAAACAGAAUUAUCCAGAGGAGAUUGAAGCACCGAGUCAGGUAUGGAAAAUGAAGAUAACUAUACAUGAAGAGGAGGCGCUGCCGGAAGUACCGACUACGCCACCCAACGAACCUCAGGACGAUUAAGAAAUUGGAGAGUCCCGUUCGGAGGACUUAAAAACACCGAACGCCUUGCCAAGAGGUAAACUUGGUAGUUACCCUUUCCCUUUCAGUUAUUUCAAAUAGUUUACUUAGUUAAACAUGCUCAUGCUGUCUUAAAAGAAAAUAAAAAUAUGAAAAACAGUAAGCCCCAUGUGAGUAUACGAGUGGCAUAAAACCCAUAAGUACUUUCACUGUGGAGGCAUAAAAAUAAAAAAAUAUUUUUCUGCUUUAUAAAAUAAAAAAAUAUAAAAACAGGGAGUAAUAUUUACUAAGGAGUCUCAACGUGAUAAAGGCUAGAUAUUUAUGCUAACACUUAAUCAGUUCCACAAGCUUUGUUGUCUAUUUGAGCUCCACAGAAUUUAAGAAUCAAGAAGACUAGCAGAAGGAGGACAUUCUAAUCGCUGUCAGAAUGCUGCUGACUUUCAAAUACACCUCUGCCGCCUGCUAGCUACAUCAAGAGAAAUUACGUCAAAAUUCAGCUUGGGGGAGAGCACCCCCAUUUAUCACGAUAAGUAUUUCUAUCUAUCUUUAUAUUUAUAUUAUUUUAGAAUAUUAAAAUACACAUAAACUAUGGAAAAACCAAAUAAAGAUUUUAUGCUUAUAUAUGUCUUUUGCUUAGUGUGUUUAAUAAAUAAAUAAAGUGGCUAUGCUAAUCUGUAUCUAAAUAAAACUUAAGCAUGGAUAUGAUGGAAAGUUGCUCUGCCUAAUUUGCAAAUUUUAAAGUUCUCUCUCUCAAGUUUAGAUAUAACUGUUAUAAUUUAAAGCUUGCUCUAGAUCUAAACUUGUGGGAUAAAAACUUGAUCUGAAGUCUAAGUUGUUAACGGAUACGAUAUGGGAAGGCUGAGCUGUUGUUUAUCUGUUCCUAGAGAUGCUAGAAUUCUGGAGAAUUUUAGCUUUGAAAAUCUUUAAAAUGUUGCAUGAUGAGUUCCUGUAUGAUGAGAGAUUAAAUUCCUACCACAGCCAUAUAUACAUGCUUGCUAGACUUUGAGCCACACAUUUACUAUUUACUGCUUAUGAGCAUUGAGUGUGGUCAAGCUGUGUAGACCCUUAGGAGCUUGUCAUGUGGUUAAAUCAAGAUUUCACUUACACGUUCACUCAUAUAUGCUACUUCUACUCCGGAAGUACCAUCCACAUAUAUCCACCCAUUCCAUCUCCAGAAUCACCCAAAAAUAUUCUGCUCCUAAUCCGGGAGAGAAUAACCAAAAAUAUUUCUGUUUUUCCCUUGUGAAAUAAAUGCUCAAGUUAUCUUGUUACUACCACUUGCUAUAUUAUCUCAAGAGAUGAAUGCUCUAAAAAAAAGAAAAAAAAUAUAUAAUAAUACGAGGAAAUAAAAAGGAGCAAGUGCUCGGAACCUCGAAAGAAAAGAAAAAGUGAGACGAGAGGUAAAAAUGGACAAGUGUCCGACAGUAGAAUUAGGGGUACAAGAUACCCACCUGAGAGAAAAGAAAAAGAAGAGCAUCUCAUUCUCCUCAUAAAGUUUCAAAAGCAAGGAAGGUAUGUAUCCCCUCAAAAGAGCAAAGUAGAAUUAGACUUCCACCACCAUUGUUUUCACCAUUGUUAUCACCAUCAUCACCAUAUACCAUUCAUUCGCCACACAUGCACAUCUUGAUUAAACUUAUUGACUUGUUACUUUGGAUCCAUGGUUUGACUAUACAAUACAUGUCUUGUAAGUAUGUAUACUUUAUCUCCCACCUAUGAGCUCCAGAUAUUAAAGCCUUAUUAGAGUAGGGUGAGAGAGAAGGCAAUGUCACUAUGCUUUAUACCACAAAUACCACAUAUCUUGAGAGAAGGCAUAUACCAUCAAUGCCUUGGUAAGGAUCAAAAAAAUACCACAAAAGAGAGACCUGAGAGAAUCAUACAAGGAAACUCUGAGUUUUAUUUGAAAAUCUGCAAAAAUCCCAGAGCUAUAGUUGAUCAAGAAUAAGAGACAUGGCACUUGGCUAGACUGUUCUAUCUUUUAACCACUCAAGACAGAAGUGACAGUUACAAGUCCCAUGGUGAAGGUAAAGUAAGUAAGUUUUAAGUCUUAACAGUCUACUCUAACUCAGAGAUGAGAUCUUAUUUAAAAGCAUGUGUACCGCCAAUUUUUAAAAAAAUAUUGCAGCAACUUCUGAUCCAUAGCUGAGUCUAUCCUUGCUCAGGGACGAGCAAGAGGUAAGCUUGGGGGAGUUUGUUGACGGUCCUUAAGUAUCAAAUUUAAUUAUCAAAUAAAUAAAGAAAAGGAUCCAAAUGAAAUCAAGAUCUAGACUUAGGGUUUUAUCUGACAGAAUUCCACGAGUUUUGGUGUUUGUCUAUUUCUGCAGGGGGUUAUCAGGAAAUAUGGAAGAAAGGCCCACAUGUCAGGAUUACGUAAAGAUAUUAACGUGCUGCGCAAUUAUCUUACAUCUAGAAGACUCCAGAAGCCACGAGACCGAAGCGGAGGCGAAACGGGGCCAGAGGCAGGGCGCCCGCCCUGUCCUACUGGGCGCCCGCCCCCUGUCCAAGUCCAAUCAGGACUCUGCUUUGCGGGAAGUCUCCACCGACCUAAAGGAUGAAUCUAAACCAUACAAUCUAUGUCGGUUUGAUCCAAGGGCCCAUAUUCACUUGAAGGGACUAUAAAACCAGAUCCCCUGGCCCCUGGAGGAGAGAGCCUCUCAACCCUAAUUCAUUGUUCCAUAAAGGGAGAAGAAGCCUCUGAUCAAGAUUAGAGCCACCACAUCAAUUAGAUAUCUAGAUUAGCAUAGCUACAUAGGAUUAGAACUAGAAGGAGUCAAUCUUCGAUUGGUUUCCGGAUCUGUCAGGAGGAUUCUUGGUAAUUCUCUAAUUGUGUUUCUAAUUACUUUCUAAUUAUCUUUGUUCUUCAAUAUUAUGAAUAUGACUUUGUUCUACUUCAAUAUAUUGCUUAUGACUUUGCUCUACUUGCUUAUAUUCAAGAUUAUAUUGUUCUUAGUUUAUCAUAGUUAUGUACUUGGCUUAGUUAGAUACGAUCUAUAUACAUGCUUAGGAUCGUAUAGCGUUUAUCCAUCGGAUCCAUGGGUAAAUGAUAGAUAUUGUGUAGGCGUGGUGCUUAUACCGUAUUUAUCUGCGAUUGUACCCAAUAUGCCAGAUCGUGGGGUGGUUCGUGAUAGUGACAGCUUCAUUGAUUCUUAUAUAGUCCCCCUCUCGUGUAUUGGGCUGGCAGAGCAACAUUAUUACAGGGGAGUGAUUGCUAUGUUUCUCAUAUUCCUUGCUAAUAUCACUAUGCAUGGGCGUAGUCUUGUCUCACAAUGAUUGCUAAGUAUGCUUGCACUAACUAUGAUAAUGCUAGAGUAUAUAGUUGAGAAUAACUUAGGGAAUAUUCUUGUAGUUCGUUCUAAUACCAUGCUAAUGACUUUCUAGAGUAUCUAAUUGAGGUGCUUAUCAUAUUUAUUAUGUGGCUAGAUCAGAUUAGUUAUCCUUGUCACUAUUAUUAUUUCAUAUAUCUUUUAUGUGACACUUAUCCCUGUAUGAUGAGUUAGAUAUAAUGUUCUCAAUUAUACAUGCAAUGAUAGAUGCUCAAUCUCAUAUUCUAUUCUGUAAUCAAUAUUGAUGAUUGCUAAUCCCUUCCCAGUGGUAAAAAUAUAAAUAACGAUACCUGGAAUACUUCCCGGUUAAAAUGCUGCAUCGGUAUUAAUCUGUGCGCUUGCAGAUCCCAUUCAUUAUUUAUUUAGAAGAGCAAUUGCAUAUUUCAAUACCGCGUCUCUUAUAUCAUGCUGGGGAUGACAACUUGGCUUAAGUGGUGUAAGGGAUAGGUUUGGCAUUUUUGGCACCGUUACUAGAUUUAGAGAACUUAGUCUACUUUUAGUAAUGAUGUUAAGAAUACCCAACAGCGGCCGAGGGGUACAAGGGCGAGGUUGCUCGGCUUGAGGCUCUGCUCGCCGAAAAAGACCUUGCCCUGAACCAAGCUCAGGCUGACCUUUCUGCUGCCCAGAGCGAGGUGGCUCGCUGGCAUCGGAGCUCGGCGGAGAACGAGAAGCGAGCCGAGGGUAAGAGCUGCGUCUUUUACCUUGGCUCUCUUUUGACUUUCCUAACUUUUCUCUUCUUUUUUUGUUCUGCUUUUCAACAGAGUCGGGGUGGAAGAUGGCCGAGGCAACCUCUGCCGCUGAGGCCUUGCAGAGGUCCCUUGACGCCGAGGUCACGGACCGCUCGGCUCUGGAAGCCGUCGUUACCUCAACGUGCGAGGGGCUCGGGGUGUCGGCGUCGGGGUCGUCGCUGCAGAGUCGAGUCGAAGCUCUGGCGGGGAGAAGAUGAGGGAGGCACUCCACGCCGGGGUAAUGAAAGCCCUGGCGGUGGUGAACUCUCACUACGUCAGCAUUGAUCUGCCGGCGGUCUGUGAGGGCUACGUCCUCCCUGACGAUGAAGUGGAGGCCCAGGAGGAGCUGCAGAGACUUGAGGACGCCGUGAAUGCCCCGGGAGAUGCCUUGGCCGCCUUCUUUGGUGCCGAGGUGGAGCUUCCCCCUCUCGGCGCGCAGGGGCCUGCGUAGGCGGGGCAACAAGGCCCUUUAAGUUAGAUUUCUCUUUUUUGUAAACGUCAAGGCCAGUGGGUCUUGUAUUGUAUAUAUAUAACAUGAAUGUUUAUAUGAUUGUUCCUCUUAAGGUUUUCCUUUGUUAUCUUGUUGUGUGUUUUUCCCUAUGCUGACCCGACCUCGGCAGCGCGGGGUCGGGUGAGCUACUUAGGGUCUGUGCUAGCCAGAGUCCCCGAGCCUAUGUCCUUUUCCUUUUCCUUAGUAAUUUUCAGAGGUCCGGAUCCACCCCCCGAUCCUAGGGGUGAGUAGAGGUCGUCCUUGCCCGUGGGCGCGGAUCUUUCCUCAGGCUCAUGCCUUAAGGUUUUAGGGGAUGGAUCUGCGGUUUCUUAAAUCCCUUUAGGAAAUGAAAGAGGACACCAGGUUAGGGUUCUUUGACUUGUGCAAAAAAGGGAAAAAGAUUUGGAGUUGCCACAGGGGGUUCCCCCCGUGUAGCCCCCGAGGGAGGCUCGGACUCUGCAAGGCAAGGCAGGUCGGAGGCUCACUUAAAAGAAACAACCAUAUAACUUAAACUUUCAUUUAUUCUUUCAAGGUGAUGAACAAAUGGAGAUUUUUACAAAAUUCUAAGGGUAGAAGCGACGUAGCUGUUCUAUAUUCCACGCGUUCUUGAAGACCUCCCCUGCUUCGUUGACGAGCUUGUAGGUGCCAGGUCGGAGGACUUCGGCGAUGACAAAAGGUCCUUCCCAGGGGGGCAUGAACUCGUGAUGACCCUUGUUGCUCUGCCUGAGCCUCAGCACCAAGUCGCCAACUUGAAAGGCUCGGCCUCGGAUUCAUCGCGUGUGGUAUCGGUGGAGGGCCUGCUGGUACUUGGCAGAGUGUAGGUGGGCUACGUCUCUGGCUUCAUCCAGCUGGUCCAACGCGUCUUCUUGGUACGUCUUGCAGCUGUUUUCGUCGUAGGCUUGUACCCUUGGGGACCCGUACUCCAGAUCCGUUGGGAGGAUGACUUCCGACCCAUAGACCAUGAAGAACGGGAUGAAGCCUAUGGCUCGGCUUCGGGAAGUCCUUAGACUCCAGACCAUGGCCGGUAGCUCUUUGAGCCACCUUUUUCCGAACUUGUCCAACCAGUUGAAAAUCCUGGGCUUAAGACCCUGGAGGAUCAUGCCAUUGGCACGCUCCACCUGACCAUUGGUCUUUGGGUGAGCCACUGCUGCCCAGUCCACACGUAUGUGGUGUCUGUCGCAGAACUCCAGGAACUUCCGCCUGGUGAACUGUGUGCCGUUAUCGGUGAUUAUGGAGUUUGGCACUCCAAAUCGGUGGAUAAUAUCCGUGAAGAACAACACCGCUUGUUCGGCCUUGAUCCUUGUGAUGGGUCGGACCUCAAUCCACUUGGAGAACUUGUCAAUUGCGACAAGCAAGUGGGUGAAGCCCCCGGGCGCCUUUUGCAGAGGCCCGACGAGGUCGAGACCCCAGACAGCAAAGGGCCAGGUGAUGGGGAUCGUCUGCAAAGCCUGAGCGGGGAGAUGAAUCUGCCGAGCGUAAAACUGGCAUCCCUCGCAGGUUCGCACGAUUUCGGUGGCGUCAGCCACGACGGUGGUCUAGUAGAAGCCUUGUCGGAAGGCAUUUCCUACCAGCGUUCGAGGCGCGGCGUGAUGGCCACAAGCCACCGAGUGUAUGUCCUCCAGGAGCUUGAUUCCCUCUUGACGUGGCAUGCAGCGCAUAAGGAUACCCGAGGGGCUACGCUUGUACAUCUCUCCGUCGAGGAGGACGAAAGUCUUGGCACGGCGAGCCACACGCCGUGCCUCUGCCUGGUCUGGGGGCAAAGUGCCGUCGACGAGGCAUUGGAGCAAAGGGUAGCGCCAGUCCGGCAAGUCGUCAGGCGCAAGGGGCUUAGACUCGAUGUCCAUGGCCUCCUGUUCCUGAGCGGUGGAGGCCUCGGGGUCGGGGCCUGGGUCGCUUGGGGGUUUAUCCGAGCCCCCGUCGUCCUUGUAGUCGACAGAAGGCUUGUGGAGGUCGCUGACGAAAACAUCUGGAGGGACCAUGGCCCGUUCGGAUGCCAUCUUGGCGAGCGCGUCGGUGGCCUCAUUGUAUUUUCUUAACACGUGGUUAAGCUCGAGACCGUCGAACUUUUCCUCCAGGCGCCGGACUGCUUUGCAGUAUGCGUCCAUCUUGGGAUCGUGGCAGCUAGACUCUUUUAUGACUUGGUCGAUGAUGAGUCUAGAGUCGCCUCGGACGUCAAGCCGUUUGAUCCCGAGCUCAAUCGCGAUGUGGAGACCAUUGACGAGGGCCUCGUACUCUGCCGUGUUGUUUGAGGCGGGGAAGUGGAGUCGGAUCGCAUAUCGCAUCCUUACCCCGAGGGGCGAAAUGAAGAUGAGGCCAGCGCCGGCCCCGGUUUUCAUCGAAGACCCGUCGAAGUACUAGGUCCAGCACUCAUGCUGGAUUUAUGGUGGAGGGAGCUGGGUCCCUGUCCACUCAGCCACAAAAUCCGCUAGGACUUGGGAUUUUAUAGCUUUCUGAGGCUCAUAGGUGAUCCCGUCGCCCAUGAGCUCUAUAGCCCAUUUGGCAAUCCUACCAUUAGCCUCACGGUUCUGAAUCACUUCCCCCAGAGGGAAAGAUGAUACUACCGAGACCGGAUGAGACUCGAAGUAAUGGCGGAGUUUGCGUCGGGCCAAGACUACCGCGUAGAGUAGCUUUUGGAUUUGGGGGUAUCGGGUCUUUGUGUCAGACAGUACUUCACUGAUGAAGUACACUGGUCUUUGGACCGGCAGGGCGUGCCCUUCUUCCUUCCUUUCGACCACGAUAGCUGCGCUGGCCACCUGAUCAGUGGCUGCGACGUAGAGAAGCAAUGGUUCCCCCUCGGCAGGAGGUACCAGAAUGGGAGGAUUGGUGAGCAGAGCCUUGAGCUUGUCAAGGGCUUCCUGGGCCUCAGGGGUCCAGGAAAAAUGCUCGGACUUUCUAAGUAACCUAUAGAGAGGUAGCCCUUUCUCCCCGAGACGGGAGAUGAAACGACUUAGGGAGGCUAGGCACCCCAUGACUCUCUAUACUCCCUUUAGGUUACGAAUUGGGCUCAUGUUUGCGAUGGCCGAGACCUUUUCUGGGUUGGCCUCGAUCUCUCGCUCAGACACGAUAAACCCGAGGAGCAUGCCUCAGGGGACACCAAAAACGCAUUUUUUGGGGUUGAGUCUGAUCCCUUUUGCCCUGAGGCAUCGGAAUGUUUCAUCCAGGUCGGGAACUAGGCCUCUUGCCUUCCUGGAUUUGACAACAAUGUCGUCUACAUAGGCCUCUACCGUUUUGCCUAUCAGGUCCCCAAAGACUUGGAGCAUACAUCGCUGGUAUGUAGCCCCCACGUUCUUAAGACCGAAAGGCAUAGUUACGCAGCAAUACAUUCCGAAAGGAGUGAUGAAAGAAGUCACGAGCUGGUCGGACUCUUUCAUCUUGAUUUGGUGGUAGCCGGAAUAAGCAUCAAGAAAAGAUAAAAUUUCACAUCCCGCAGUGGAGUCAACUAUCUAAUCGAUACGAGGUAAUGGAAAGGGGUUCUUAGGACAUGCUUUAUUUAAACUAGUAUAGUCUACACACAUCCUCCACUUCCCAUUUUUCUUUUUGACUUGUACAGGGUUAGCUAACCACUCGGGAUGGAAUACCUCCUUGAUGAAUCCGGCUGCCAGCAACUUGUGGAUCUCCUCCCCGAUGGCCCGGCGCUUCUCCUUGUUCAAUCAGCGCAGGCGUUGCUUCACGGGUUUGGAGCCGGCUCGGAUGUCCAAGGAGUGCUCGGCGACUUCCCUCGGUAUGCCAGGCAGGUCCAAGGGACUCCACGCAAAUAUGUCGGCAUUUGCGCGGAGAAAGUCGACGAGCACCACUUCCUAUUUGGGGUAGAGGCUGGAGCUGAUCCUCAACUCCCUGCCCUCAGAGGUCCUGGGGUCGAGGAAGACGAGCUUGGUCUCCUCCGCCGGCUCGAAGCUCCCGGCGUGCCGCUUCGGGUCGGGGAGGUCCUGGUCACCGUCGCCGAGGCUGGUGAGGAUAGCCAGAGCACUCCUCAAGGGUGUGCUUGGUUGGUCCCCUAUGAUAGGGGCACGGCUUCUUCAACAUCUCGUCAAAGAGACCGGGGCCAGCAGGAGCCUGCUUGGGGUUCUUGCGAUCUGCCGCGGCGACCAGGUUGUCGUCCGACUGACCCUGCUUCCCCUUGCGACCCUUCUUCUUCUUGGGGUCGCGUGAGCCCGAGGCUUCGGUGGCCUCGGCCUUUUGUUUCCCCUUGGCAGUGCCGUCGGAGAAAAUGGCACCAACUGCCUCUUCGCCCGAGGCAAAGUUGGUGGCGAUGUCGAGCAGCUGGCUGGUGCUCGUGGGGGUCUUGCGACCGAGCUCGUGUACCAGUUCCUUGCAGGUGGUACCGGCGAUGAAGGCCCCGAUGACGUCGGAGUCGGUGAUGUUGGGGAGCUCGGUGCAUUGCUUGGUGAAUCGCCUGAUGAAGUCUCGGAGGGAUUCAUCAGGCUUCUGCUGGCAGCUCCUGAGGUUCCAGGAGUUCCCAGGGCGCACGUAAGUGCCCUGGAAGUUCCCGACGAAGAUCCUGACCAGGUCGGCCCAGUCGUGGAUCAUGCGCUCAGGGAGGUGCUCAAGCCACGCUCUGGCCAUAUCGGCCAGGUGGAGUGGCAGGUUGCGGAUGAUGAGCAAGUCAUCGUCCGCCCCACCUAGCUGACAUGCUAGGCGGUAGUCUGCUAGCCAGAGCUUAGGGUUGGUUUCUUCCGAGUACUUGGUGAGGUUAGCGGGCUGUCGGAAUCGCGCCAGGAACUUGGCCCUACGGAUGGCCUCGCUGAAGACACGGGGGCCCGGAGGCUCUGGCGACGUGCUGCGGUCGUGGUCGGGGUCGUACCUCCCGCCUCGGCGCGGUCGAUAGUGUCGAGAAUCGGCCUCGUCCCUGUCGCGCCGUCUGGCCUCGAGGGUGGCCCAGACGUCCGCGUCGACCCCGACACGCUCGUGGACAGAUGGGGCCCUGUUGCCUCCUUGUGGGUUAGGGGGCGGCGGACCCUGCACCGUUGGCGCCUUGUUAGGAGGGGGUCGGUCCCCUUGGCGUCUCGUGUCGUGGGACUGUGACACAGAACUUUCUGCGUUCUACACCACAGCUUGCUCCAGGAGGCCGCGCAGCCCCUGGCGCACCCUUCUCCCCUCAGGAGUCGAUGGCUCGGGCAUCGCUCUGAGGAGGAGUGCGGCAGCCAUCACGUUUUGGCUAGCCAUGCUGAAGACUGGGGGGUUGUCACCCCCUUCGUCCUCGAUGAUGCGGCGGUUAACGUCCCGGGCACGGCGUCUAGCCUCGCCCCCAUCCCCGCGACCGGACGGGUCUUGGACCAGGGUCUCGCGGAGUUGGCGGAGGCGUACGCGCUCUUCUUCGAGCCUAGCCUCCAGCUCAUUGAGCUGCUCGAGGUCAGGGCGCUGUCCUCCUGGCGAAGCUGAGGCGGCCCCGCGGGCUCCAGGAUGGAUCCCGGGAGUCGGGUUGGGAGGUGGAGUGGCGUUCCCCUGCCUAGAGGGUCCUGCACCCCCUUGAGCGUGGGGGGGCGCUCCUCCGACCUCAAGGUUGAAGCACUCUCGCGACGGGUCGUAUCCGCCGUCGUCAGAGUCGGAGUAGCCGAGGCAGUAGUUGCUGGCCUCCAGAAAACGCAUGAUCAUUUCCGGGUCGCCACACCCGGAAAAAUCAACGCCAACCCACUCAUUGUCGCCUGAGGUGGGAUGCUCAGGGUAUGACGAGGCGGGCGGUGUAGCGAUAAGGUCGAGGGUAGACCUCAGGUGGUGUCCUGGAAGGUCCGCGUACGCACUCAAUGAAGUGCUUACGGAAGAGGCGUAAGUGGCGGCCGUGUUCCUGAGCCUGAAAGGGAGCUCGGGAGGUGCCGCUGUCUCACCUCCACCCAUAGGUGGAGGGGGAUGAGACGUUGAGGCCCCUUUGUCCCCCUUCUGGGGAGCAGGCGGGAGUCGUGCCUUCCCCUUUAUCCGGGGCGGGACAGGAGGUCGUGAUGAUCCCUUGUUGGUCCGAGGAGCGGAGCUUGAUGCUCCACGGGCCCUUCCUCUAGCGCCUGUCGGGCCGGAGGAACGGGCGAUCUGGUGAGGAAUAUGCGGGGGGAGGGCCGGACGAACCCUUGCCUCAGUGGUGGGGUCAGAGAUGCUAGACCUCUGACGCCCCCGCCGGGCGCCCCCCGUAUGGUGCCCCGAGCGCCUCCCACGUACUGACUGUGGUGGGAUCGGCUCAGGGCGAGGCUCGGCGUCACCACGUGGUGGGAGGAGGACCAUGUCAUAGCCGGAGCCGAGCGACAUGAACUCCAAACUCCCAAACAUCAUGAUGGUGCCGAAGCGGAGUGGGUGGAAUCCGUCUGCCAUCCGGGCUUUCCUUAGUAGGGAAAGAUGAAUGCCACGCAAAAGGCCCCUACCUGGCGCGCCAACUGUCGGUGUCUAGACUCGCGGUCUAGACACAAACGAGUGUAAAUAUGCGUGACUAUCUAAGCCUGGAUGGUGAUGCAAGUGAAACACAGAGAAUUUAUACUGGUUCGGGCUAAGGAUGCCCUACGUCCAGUGAGAUCGGAGGUCUGUAUUGCCUUGCACCCAAAGGUGCUUGUAGUAGGGGCGUACAAGCAGGUUGCGAGAGAGGGCUUAGUCCCAAGUCUCAGCUUUGUGAUGUGGACAGAGCGCUGGUUGCUACUCUGUGGGUGAACUAGCUUGUGUGUAUGCUGUGUGGUUGAGCUUGUUGGUCGUGAACCUGUCUUGGUCGUGAGCCCUGGCUCCCCUUUUAUAGCCUCAAGGGGAGGCAAGUAUUUACAUGAGGGUUUGGAUAUUUCCUCUACUGAGUGGAGGAGUAACAGUCCCGACCCUGUAGAAGCUUGCCCAUCCCGUCCUUGAGGUAUGGCUGACAAUAUAGUUGCUCCUGUGGGGGGUUGCCGAGCCCUGUUGGAGUCGUGGGGGUCGGAUCGGCGAUACUGCAGUCUGUCAUGUUAACAGUGGGAAAAGAUAGCAAAUAGUGAUGCUGAUUAACCUCUCCCAUUCCCCUUUCACUGUAAGGCGGUACACCACAGUAAAAGAGGUAAGGCCGCACAGUGAAAGAGGUAAGGCUGCAGUGACCAGGGUGGUUGGAACAGUCGCCACCAUGCCCGGCUGCGAUAUGGGAGUCACUGCGCCUGUCACGUCGUGAGUACGGGCGCCAUGCGUUGGAAGCCUUGUUCUAACCGGGUGAAGCGGCGUUGGCGCCCGAGCCCUAUAGGGGUCGGGCGAGGCGGAACUUACGCCCGAGGCCUAGGGGGGUCGGGCGAGGCGGUGUCUGCGUCCGAGCCCUAGAGGGAUCGGGCGAGACGGAACUCGCGCUCGAGGCCAAGGGGUCGGGCGAGCCGCGAUUUGGGCCCGAGACCGAGGAGUCAGGUGAGCUGGGGCCCGCGCUCUGGUGGUCGUGAAUGGCUUAGUUCGUCUUUUGUGAUUUUUGUUGUUUUGAUUUGGGUAUCCCUUUUUAUGGUACCCAACAACAGUUGUGUUCUUCAUGACUGUUAAUUGUACGAACUUUGUUUUUUGAAUUAAAUGUUAUUUUAAUUUUGGUAUUUAAUUUCACAGUAUUGUUAUCUUACCAUGCGACGCGUAUGUUUUUAGUAUAAAAAAUUAGUUGUUCUGUAGCAAUGUACGGGCAUACUAUCUAGUAAUAUAAUAUGGUUCAAGCGUAUUUCUUGUAAAAAAAUAUACGCGUACCAACAGGCACAUGCCUUGCGGUGCGAGAUUGCAUCAGUUCAUGUCUUUUUGCUCGCUGUUUUUAUAAUUUAUAUUUUUCCCCGUUGAAACUCCUGCUAGAUGGAAACGGCCACCUAGUAAAAGUAAAGUAUUCCAUCAGUUGCACGCGACCACCGACGGCAUUGUUAGGGAAAAAUUACCCCUUUUUUUUGAACGGUCGGCAAAAGCUUUGUCGAAAGUAUAUUAGUAAGAGAAAAAUAAACAAAGUUACACACUUAUUUACAGCUGCUAUAUGCUAAUAGAAGGAAAAUAGAAAGUAAAAAAAAACACUACACAAAUACUUUUGUACAAUAGAGUAACCGGGAGAUACACUAUCUUCACUAAACAUAUUGAAAACUUGCAAAAGCUAUCGCCGAGCGUUCGCUAUCUCCGUGCGAUUUGCUUUUGACUGCUACUCCCUCCAUACUAAAUUGUAAGUCGUUUGACUUUUUUACUCCAAAUUUGACCACUCGUCUUAUUCAAAAAAUUUGUACAAAUAUAGUCAAAUUUAUUAAGUCAUUUUUGAAGAACUUUUAUUAAUAAAUCAAUACACAACAAAAAAAAGUAAUAUUUUGUACAAAACUUUGAAUAAGACGAGUGGUCAAACUUGAUAUUUAAAAAGUUAAACGAUUUAUAAUUUGGAAUGGAGUGAGUACUGCUCUGCAAGAGCAUCUUGCAUUGCUGAGCAAUGCUGUCGUGACGGUAGAGAGAAAAGUUCUUAUUUUUUUCCUGGCAAAAGGAGAGCUUCCAAUAGCUAGCACAGGAGUUAGGGCCUGUUUAGAUUGAGAACGAAAAUUUUUUGGGUGUCACAUCGGAUGUGUCGGAAGGAUGUCGGGAGGGGUUUUUAGAAACUAAUAAAAAAACAAAUUAUAUAGCUCGUCAGGAAACUGCAAGACAAAUUUAUUAAGCAUAAUUAAUCUGUCAUUAGCAUAUGUAGGUUACUGUAGCACUUAAGGCUAAUCAUGGAGUAACUAGGCUUAAAAGAUUCGUCUCGCGAUUCUUAACUAAACUGUGUAAUUAGUUUAUUUUUUUAUCUACAUUUAAUGUUCCAUGCAUGUGUCCAAAGAUUCGAUGGGAUGGAUGAAAAAAUUUUGGGUAGGAAACUAAACAGGGCCUUACUACUACAUACAGUCAUUAGCUACUCUCAUGGCUACUGGCCUACUGCAGGGUCUUCGUUACACACUCUUAGAGUCCACUCUUUAAACUUGCCAUAAUUUUCGGGCGGGCUGUGCUGCUCCCCCAUGCACCGUUAGCUAGGUAGACAAUGCUGCUGUCUCUUUGUUCAUCCUCUCUCGUCCCUCCUACUAAACCUAAAAUAAGAAUUAUUACUCUAUCUCCGCAACUAAACGAGACAAUUAAUUACAUAUUAGUUAUGGUAUUUUGCUGAUGUGGCACCAUAUUUAUUGAAGAAAGAGGUAGAAAAAAUAAGACUCCAAGUCUUAUUUAGACUCCAAGUCCACAUUAUUCGAGGUAAUAAAUAGCUUUAGACUUCAUGAUAGAGUCUACAUUGUGAGUGCCCUUAAACAUAGAGUCCACUCUUUAAACUUGCCAUAAUUUUCGGGCGGGCUGUGCUGCUCCCCCAUGCACCGUUAGCUAGGUAGACAAUGCUGCUGUCUCUUUGUUCAUCCUCUCUCGUCCCUCCUACUAAACCUAAAAUAAGAAUUAUUACUCUAUCUCCGCAACUAAACGAAGAGGUGAAAUCAUCCUAUAUCCUAGAAAAUAUAUAAGUCGUUGAAGUGCACAUGGAAAUGAUUCCAGACCGCAUCUGACAAAAUGACUGAAAAAACAAAGUUUAACAGCUUGAAAUCUGUCUGAUCAGCUCAUCAGAAUCUCGAACCAGUAAAGUCAGCAGGCCAGCAUUUUCCUUUUGUACCUCGCUCCGUAAAGACUACCGAGCAUCGUGCAUUGCCUGCCUGUAAAAAGAUGCACAUGGCAUUGUUCCGGAAUGGAAUAUACAGAUAGAUAUUGCAUCCAUAUAUAGCUAGUUGUAUUUAUUUUUGCAUUAGCCAAUUCACUGAAAUCUAAUAUAUUAAAGAGACAUCUCAUAUAUUCUUGGUAAACAUGAACAAAUUAAUAAAUUGUAGCCAAAGAAGCUAACCAUGGAGAAAAAGGAGACAAUACAUGCACGCGCAUUUUGAUUUUUCUUUGUUUCAUUACGAACAAGCCAGAACAAUGUGUUUAUUUCAUUUGAUCAGUACAUUUCAGUAAAUUAAAAAAAUCACAGGCAGGCCCGUUCUAUUGGAGUACGGGCCACAAGUGUAACUGUUUGGCAUCUCACCGACUUCUCUCCCCGUGAUGCGACUGAUAAGCCACAACAGAAAAUGUUGUUUGCUGAUUUAUUGUGAGAGAAAAAUAUUGUUGAAUGGCUGGCAGAUUAGGCUGAUAAGCUCAAGCGACAUGUGUUUCUCCGCGCCAUAUCUUCCCUAUACAAAUUAGAUAUCAAGGUUCGUGACUUUUUUUUGAGGAUCCAUAAAAUAGUAUUUCAUUAAAAUUGAAAAGGGGUUAGCCAUCGUGGUGUCAAGAAAUAUGACCGAUACAUCUCUCAGUUCCACAUAUAAGCUCUUUUUGAGGGUUGCAUUGGUAUAUAUAAACAAGUAAGAGAUUUGCACUAAUAUAUGCGGACAAUAUGAGAAAAAUUAAUUUUCAUUAUUAAUUGGAUGACAAAUUGUUGUUUUGAUUUACAAUUUUAUUAGUUAGGCCAUCAGCUGAUUCGUUUAUAAUUAAUAAUAACUCUCAUUUCUAAUUAAAACUAUGUCAACCUAAUGAAAAAAUAUUUAUUAUUAGGUAGCCGUAAUAUUGUACUCUAUUUAUUUUUAUAUUUAUAACUAAAAGCAGACUGAAUUACUUCAUCAGAAAAGAAAGGUAAAACAAAAAAGGAUCAUGGAAAGGGCAGCACGGGAUAGAAAAGUCACGGGACACCAUGUGUUGAGGUGUUAAGUUACACACGCGACAUAUAAACAUGACUAUUUUAUUGUGCCUUAUUUUAAUUUUCUUGUCUAAUAAAUUUUCUGCAAAUUUCUUGCUCAUCUUUCUAAAAUAAACAUAAAAAUAUUAAUUCCUAGAGUUUUAAUAUUAGACUGACAGAAAAAAGAAGCUAUUAUAAAUGGACCGUUGAGAAAGGUGCAUUUUUUUCCCUCACAAGGAAAAGUUAGAUGUAAAUUAUCAGCUCUUCGAUCUUAGCCUCUGCGACUAGCUAGGCAGCCUCAAGGUCACCCUCGUGGGCACCCCGCUGGCGAACCUGUUGCCCGAAAGCAAAGCAGGUGGCCCUGGUCGACGCUGACCACUGAGAUGCCGGUGGGCUAGCACAUUGGUGAUGAGCGAUUGACAACACGGUGUGCGUGUGACGUGUCUCUUGGCAGGCUGUAGUUGCAGGUGACAGGUGGAGACAAGGUACAUGCGGCGACGAGUGAAGAACGAGGAUAGGAUGUCGUGCCGAAGAACCGCUGGGGCGGAGAAGGAUGGAUCGAGGCUUGCGUUUGAGGGACAUGCGAUCGUGCGGUGUACGUCUACUGUACCUGGCUACACGGCGGGAGGACGUCGAGGGAGGUUUCCGGAUUACGCCACAAAAUCCGGGGUUCGCUGGUUGAGCCACAAAGCCAUGCAUCGUACCGGGACGCUCGUGCGGCGGGCGUUGGCCGAAGAUGGAAAUUCCGACGAUCGCGAUAUGAUUUCGGAUGGUCAUGCGGUGACAUCGCGAGGAUCACAUCGCGGACAUGGAGGGAUCGCGGACAUCGCGGAAUUUACCAUGGAAGAUUAGACGUAAUUAGAAUUUACGCUCCUACGUUAAAUUUAUUUAGCGUAGGGGGGUUAUGUGUAAAAGGUAGAGCCACCCUUGGGGUUAUAAAUAUAUGGCACCUAGGGUUGAGAGGGUUUGGGGCCUUUUUGCUACAGUACUGCGGUUACUAUUCACGGGCGUAAAUAGUAACGGCGCUGCUACAGUAACAUGGAACCACCUUUCUCCCCUUUUGUCUAGCCUAGUGUUUCAAAUCAUAGCGAGAGAUUUUUAGUUGAUCUCUCCAAUCAAGAGACGGAGGACGAUCGGGCGGAGGCUAGAUGCAAUUUUGUAGAACAAUCACUUGAUUUAAUCAUUUAUUUUUGAGUUGUUCGUUUGCAUCUCGUUGAUCCGAUCUGCAAGGUUGUCGCAGCCGCGUUGCUGGUUGAAUUCCACGCGGGGGACAGAACGGAAUAACCGGCCUACACAGCCCUUCAUCCGCUGCAGCAGCAGGGACUGCACUAGGAGUGCUACCGUUGGUCUCUACUGCAGUUCACCAGGCGUACCAGUCAGAACGCAGGGUCAAGGUGCUGAAAAGGAUCUGCUGCCGGCCAACUAUUGUGAUCCACGACACACCAAGAGCAAGUAAUCCAUUUUAAUUUUCAUCAGGUGUCACUUUCAGCAAAUAGUAUUCAAUCAUUAGCAUCGUGACUGCUUACUUGUUUAUUUAUUUCACUUAUUUGUCUCUGUCACUAGUUAUAUUUAAUGACUCUGGUUGGUUAAUUGGUCCUAUUUAUUAAUUAGUUUAUACGCAUGGUCAGCCGAGAUUAUUUGUGUUAAUUAUUUAAUUAAACACCAAUACAUAUCAUUUGUGUUCUACUUCCUUAUUUUAUAGUUAAUUAUUUCCGCUGCUUGUUUAGGGUGAUAUUUGGUUUUGCUUGCAUCGAGAAAUUUUAUUGGGCUCCCAUUCACCCCCUCCCCCUCUGGUCGCCGUUUCGGUCCUACAAUUGGUAUCAGAGCCGGUUUAGGUUUUCUAUACCUUAAUCGGUGCUAAAAACUAUGGCGACCAAUGAAAAGUUUGAUGUUCGUGCUCCGUUUUUUGAUGGGACUGAUUAUGAUUACUGGAAGGCACGUAUGACCAAUUAUCUCAAAGGCAAGUCGUUGAAGCUUUGGAAAAUCACACAAAAUGCCACAUAUGUGAUUCCGGCUGAGGAACCGACUGACGCCGCUGAGAUCGGGCUUCUUGAAACAAAUCAUCGUGUUGUUGCUAUUUUACAAGCAUCUAUUUGUAAAACUGAAUAUGAUCGGGUUUCUAGUGAAGAUCUCGCUUAUCAGAUCUAGGAAAAACUUAGAAAAUAUCAUGAAGGUUCAAACACUGUGAAAAAUCGAAAAUUUGAGAUUCACCGAAAAGAGUUUGAUGCUUUUUGCCAAUUGCCUAGUGAGUCUAUUGAUGACAUGUUUGCACGUUUUCAAGUGAUCGUUAAUAAGAUGAAAGCAAUGAAUAGUGAUAUGCCUUAUGAUGAUCAUGCUAGGGCCCUCAGAUUAUACAUUCACUUAACGAUGAAUGGGAUAUGAAAGUUGAGGCGACUGUUGAAUCUGCAGGUUAUGAGACUCUCACCACUGAUGAGCUUUACAGUAAACUCAAAUCAAAAGAGAUCGAAAUUGUUUCUAAACGCAAAUUGAAAAAUCCCACAGCUUCUUCUUCUUCUGAUGUUCCAAUGGCUUUGAUUUCUGGAAAUAAGACUAACUCUAACGCUAAUCCAAAUGUUUCUAGUUUUGCUUUGUCUUCCUUGUGCCAUGUUGCAGAUGAGGAGUUGGAAGUGCUAGAUGAUGAUCAGCUUGUAUUGCUCUCCAACAAGUUCAAGCGUGUGUAUGACAACAGGCGAAAUAGAAGACGUUCAGAUGGCUGCUACAACUGUGGUGAGCGAGGACACUUUGCUGCUGAUUGCCCUAACAAGAUGAAGUCCUCCGAGCAGGGAAACAGUUCCUCUAGGCGCCAGGAGCAGUUCAGAGAGAAGAAGAAGAAGAAGAAGAAGAAGAAGAAGGAAAAGCAAUGGAAGAAAGGCGGACAAAAAUACUCUGAUAAGCAAGUCGCCAAGGCUGCACAUGUUUUGUUAUCCUCUUUUGAAAAUUAUGUUUCAGAUGGCUCGUCAGACUCCAGUGAUUCAUACUCCGAGGAUGAGACACCCAAGAAGAAGACCGAUGGACUUUGCUUCAUCACUGACGCCGACAACAAUGGUGGGAUAUGUACUAUGGCCUUGGAGGACGAUGUAGAAGCUGACAACAACGACGAAACUUCUGAUGAUGAGGUAGAUACUACUACAGAACAAAGAAUUACUGAUUUAACUAAAAUUGUUCAUAAGCAAAAUAAAGUGUUGGCUAAACUUAAAGCUGAUUAUGAUAAAACUUGUGCUGAAUUAGCUACUCUAAAAAAUGCUACAUCUACUCCUGUUGAACCUGGUGAAUGUGAAGAAUGCUCAAUUCAUAUGAUUUCGCUUUCUGAAUUGCAAACCAAGUAUGCUUCCAUUGUUGAUGAUCAAGAUAAACUUAAUGUUGAAUUAAAUGAACUUCGUUCUCGGUCGAAUUUGCUUGGUGCUUGUGUUUCAUGCCCGCUUUUGAAAGUUGACUUGGAUAAUGCUUUAUGUCGGGUAAAAAAUCUUGAAAAACAUACUUGUCCAGUUCUUCCUCCAUGCUUAACUUGUCCUAAUUUUGUUGCUGAAAAUAAUGAUUUAAGGGCUAAACUUGACAAUUUGGAAGAAGAAAAUAAGCAUUUGAGAACUAUUCUUGGUUGGUGUUCUAUUCGUGAGCCCCAAAUUGGUAUGUCUAUUGCUCAAAUUAAACGGGGUGAGCGUUUUGGUCCCGGUUAUGAUUUGAAACAUGUUUUUGGUGAAAAAAGUGGACCACCUGUUGAUGACAAGAAUCCACCUUUGGCUAAAUAUACUGGACCACCUCCUAGGAAGGGUUCAAGUGUCACCUCUGAUGGGUUGCUGGUUGAGACAUCUAGAUCUGCUCCUAAAAGGCAGGUUUGGGUGCCUAAGCCAAAAUACUUCGAGUGUGUACAAAAUGCUAAGCCAAGUGGUUUCUCUUGUGAUAAUUCUGCUAAGCAUAUUUUUGUUGCUUCUGGUUCUAAUGCUAAAGCCUCCUUCGCGCCAGCACAUAAACUAUACCAUUGUGAUUUUUGUGAUCGUGACGGUCAUCUUUAUGAGUUUUGUUUUCGAAGGAUGCGUGCUGAACGACGUGAGCAGUACCCCGCACGUGGUACUCAUGAUCGUCGUGUUUUUAGACGUGAGCAGUACCCUGUACGUGGUACUCAUGAUCGUCCUAUUUUGAGACGUGAGCCAGCUGGUUGUUCUUCUGGUUUUCGCUCGCGUACUCAUGCUUCUGCACCACGCAGGAAUGACAGGCCAUGUUUUCCCCUUUCUGGUCCUCGUUGUUCUUUUGAGAGCUUUGAUUUUGCUAAUGCUUCUUUUGAGCAAAUGGCUCAGCAGUGGUUUUCAUUGCAUUAUCCUAAACCCAGUGUUGAGUCAUUAGCUCAUUCUCGCUCUCGGUGUUGACUGCAGGUCAGAGGCGAGGAGGACAUAUGGAUAAUGGACUCCGGUUGUUCGCGCCACAUGACCGGAGAUGACAAAUGGUUCUCCAGCCUCACCUCCACGAGCAUAAAGGAAAAUAUCACUUUCGGGGAUAGAAGUCAAGGCAAGGUAAUGGCGCAUGGCUGCAUCAAGGUAACAGAUAAAUACACGUUAAAGGACGUCGCAUUGGUAAAGAAUUUGCAUUAUAAUUUGCUUUCUGUUUCGCAACUUCUUGAGGAUGAUUUUGAGGUGCGUUUUAAGAAAGGAAAUUCGCGUGUUCUUGAUUCUACUGGUAACCUCGUUUGCAAGAUUUCUCCUUUUAGACGAAUCUUUAAAGCUGAUUUUUCCAGAUCUUUUGGUAAAACUCGCUGUUUAGUUGCUCAUGGUUCUCCCUUGAUUUGGAAGUGGCAUCGUCGGUUGGGCCACUUGAGCUUUGAUUUGCUCUGUCGCUUGAGUUCAUUGGAUUUAAUUGAUGGUUUACCGAAACUCAAGUUUGAAAAGGAUUUGAUUUGUGCUCCCUGCAAACAUGGAAAAAUGGUUGCUGCUUCUCAUGCACCUGUGACUCAGGUGAUGACGAGACGACCGGGCGAACUGUUACAUAUGGACACUGUUGGUCCAGCCCGUGUUCGGUCUGCUGGUGGGAAGUGGUAUGUGCUUGUUGUUGUGGACGAUUUUUCUCGAUUUUCAUGGGUGUUCUUCUUGGAAUCUAAGGAUGAAGCUUUUUCACGUGUUCAUGAUCUUGUUCUGAAACUGAAAAAUGAGUUGUCAAUUAAUGCCGUUAGAGCAAUUCGCAGUGACAAUGGUACUGAAUUCAAGAAUUCCCGUAUGAAAGCUUUUUGUUCAGAACAGGGUUUAGAUCAUCAGUUUUCCUCUCCUUAUGUUCCUCCCCAGAACGGUGUUGUUGAACGUAAAAACCGUACACUUGUUGAGAUGGCUAGGACAAUGCUUGAUGAACAUAAAACUCCUAGACGUUUCUGGGCUGAGGCUAUCAACACCGCCUGCUAUGUUGCUAAUCGCAUUUUUCUGAGAGCUUUUCUAGGAAAAACAUCUUAUGAGUUGAGAUUUGGUCGGCCUCCCAAAGUUUCCCACUUUCGAGUCUUUGGCUGCAAGUGUUUUAUAUUGAAAAAGGGAAAUUUGGAUAAAUUUGAAUCGCGCUCUUCUGAUGGGUUAUUUUUGGGGUAUGCCUUGCAAGGGCGAGCGUACCGUGUGCUUAAUCUUGCUACUAACCGCAUCGAGGAGACAUGUGAGGUCACCUUCGACGAGACAAUACCUUGUUUCUCUUCAGUUUUUGAGUGUGCAGGUGAUGAUGAGAUUGGGCAGAAUAUUUUUGAGGAAGAGAAAGAGGAAUAUGGAUGUGAUGACGACGAUGAUGAUGCCCAGCCUGUAGCGCAGGAGGAGCCUGACGCGCAGGCUGAGCAGGGAGCCCUCCACUUCUUUGGAAGAUGGACCAUCGCCGACACGUACAUCCACAGCAGAGCCCGCAGCUUCACCGACUGUUGAUCAUGUACCGGCUGCAGUUGAGGGGAGGUGAUUUCAGAACGUACAGCACCACGACACAUUCAGGAUCGUCAUCCUCCCAAGAACAUAAUAGGUAAUUUGGAUGAGCGCACAACAAGGAACAGAGGUAUGAAAAAUAAAAAUUACUGUGUCUUUGCGCAUACUGCUUUUGUUGCUUCUUUUGAACCCCGAGAUGUUGGACAUGCUUUAUCUGAUUCUAAUUGGGUCAAUGCCAUGCAUGAGGAGUUAGAAAAUUUUGAACGGAAUCAGGUUUGGGUUUUGGUUGAUCCUCCACCUUCUUGUAAACCAAUUGGAACUAAAUGGGUUUUUAAGAACAAACAAGGGGAAGAUGGUCAUGUUGUUAGGAAUAAAGCUAGGCUGGUUGCUCAGGGUUUUUGUCAAAAAGAGGGUAUUGAUUAUGGUGAAACUUUUGCUCCUGUUGCUCGCUUAGAAGCCAUUCGUAUUUUGCUUGCAUUUGCUGCUUCAUGUGGUUAUAAGCUUUAUCAAAUGGACGUGAAGAGUGCCUUUCUGAAUGGGUUUAUAGAAGAAGAAGUUUAUGUUAAACAACCGCCUGGUUUUGAGCAUCCCAUUUUUCCUGAUCGUGUUUUUAAGUUGCAAAAGGCUUUAUAUGGUUUGAAGCAAGCACCUCGUGCUUGGUAUGCUAGAUUGAAAAAUUUUCUGCUUAAAAACGGGUUCAAAAUGGGUUCUGUCGAUAAAACCCUUUUUCUCCUUAGGCAAGGCAAUGACACUUUAAUAGUUCAGAUUUACGUGGAUGAUAUCAUUUUCGGUGGUUCCUCUCAUGCUCUUGUGAAAAAGUUUGCAGAUGUGAUGAGCAAAGAAUUUGAAAUGUCUAUGAUGGGCGAGCUGAAUUUCUUUCUUGGCUUACAAAUAAAACAAACUUCGGAAGGUACAUUUGUGCAUCAAGGAAAGUACACGAAGGAUGUCUUGAAGAAGUUUGCGAUGGAUGAUGCGAAGCCAAUUUCUACGCCCAUGCCGACUAGCGCAGCUUUGGAUGCUGAUUAGGAUGGAGAGCCCAUGGAUCAAAAGGAAUAUCGAAGCAUGAUUGGGUCGCUGUUAUACUUGACUGCUACGAGGCCAGAUAUACACUUUGCUGUGUGUAUGUGUGCUCGUUUUCAGGCGUCCCCCAGGUUUUCUCACCGUCAGGCGGUGAAACGCAUAAUGAGGUAUCUUCGAUUUACUCCUGAAUUUGGUCUUUGGUACUCUACUGCUUCGACUCUUAGUUUGUGUGGUUAUUCGGACGCUGAUUUUGCUGGGUGUCGUUUGGAUAGAAAGUCUACAUCGGGUACUUGCCAAUUUUUGGGUUCUUCGCUUGUCUCUUGGUCCUCUAGAAAACAAUCUAAUGUUGCUCAAUCUACUACGGAGGCUGAAUAUGUUGCUGCUGCUAGUUGUUGUUCUCAGCUUUUAUGGAUGAUAGCUACCCUUCGUGAUUUUGGUUUGUCGUUUUCUCACGUUCCUCUCUUGUGUGACAGCACCAGUGCUAUAAGUGUUGCAAAGAAUCCUGUACUUCAUUCUAAGACGAAACACAUUGAGGUUCAUCAUCAUUUUCUUAGGGAUCAUGUUGAGAAGGGUGAUAUUGAGCUUAAAUACAUUGAUACUAGUCAGCAAAUUGCUGAUAUUCUAACUAAACCACUCGAUCAAACCACGUUUGCACGUUUGCGUGGUGAGUUUGGGGUGUGUUACCCAUUCUAGUAUCAUUAUAAAUUGCUUCCGUUACAUAUGUUUUAUACUUGUUUUGGCUAAUCUGCGACCGAUGCUUUUGAAGAGGUUUAAAUGCUUUGCUUGACCAAUUUAUGUUUUGAAAACAGUACAUACAUAUACUUAAAAAUUUAUGUUGGGCUAUGCCUGCUUCUCUGGAUUUAGUGACUUGUUGAUUACUUGACAUAUAUCUUGCUCAUGGUUUGGUUGUCAGCUUCUUUUAAUGGUUUUUCACUGCAAAUGUAACUCACAAUGCAAGUUUUAACUCGGGAAUGGAUAGUAUGGUUGUGAGCAAAAACUCUGAAUUCCCAUAUCUCUGCUAUUUCGCUCACGAUCUGCUUGCUUACUGAGAAUUUAAAUAUGGGCACAACUCUGAUUUCCCCAUGUCCCUGCUGGUUCUCGCUCAUAAUCAAAGUUAAACAAAACUGGCUGGGCACAACUCUUGCUUCUCAUAUCCCUGCUUGUCAUGCUCGCAAAAGCCAGAAUAAAAUAUGACAAGUGAAUGCAUUUGUGGGCGUUGCAGUGAACUUUGAUCGAAGCUGCGUAUCCGUCGUGUGAGCUUGCUGUAUGUUUUGUCUUCAGCCUGGCACUGAUUUUGGAAUAUGCAUGUUUUUGCUUGGCUAAUUGAUUUUUCAAGCAGAUUUAAGUUCUAAAAUUCUAAUGGUCAUAGCAUUGUGAUGCUCCCUCUCUGAGUCGCUAGUGUUGCUAGUUAGCUUUUAUAAGUAUUUGGCAUAUGUCUCGGAAGCUUCUACUUGCGCUCUCUCACAUGUUUUUCUCUAAAUUGGUUCUUUGCAUUUAUCUCGAUGGAGUGCUUUGUCAACAAGGGGGAGAGUGAGUAGCGCACAAAUUCAUUUUGCAGGGGGAGUUUGAUUUCGUUUUUUCGUUUUUGCUGAGACUUGACAUGCUUGUUUUGAGGGGGAGUUUUGCUGAAUUUUGAUUCACUUUGGAGAAAGUUUUUUUUUCUUGAUCGUGUCGAGCCUAGCUAUUUUUGCUAGCCCAUGUCUUUGGGGAUCAAGAUUUUUUUUCUCUUAUGUUCGAAUAAAUCUGUGCGGUGUGGUGUUGUCAAUGCACUCAUCAAGGGGGAGAUUGAGAUGCCGGUGGGCUAGCACCUUGGUGAUGAGCGAUUGACAACACGGUGUGCGUGUGACGUGUCUCUUGGCAGGCUGUGGUUGCAGGUGACAGGUGGAGACAAGGUACAUGCGGCAACGAGUGAAGAACGAGGAUAGGAUGUCGUGCCGAAGAACCGCUGGGGCGGAGAAGGAUGGAUCGAGGCUUGCGUUUGAGGGACAUGCGAUCGUGCGGUGUACGUCUACAGUACCUGGCUACACGGCGGGAGGACGUCGAGGGAGGUUUCCGGAUUACGCCACAAAAUCCGGGGUUCGCUGGUUGAGCCACAAAGCCAUGCAUCGUACCGGGGCGCUCGUGCGGCGGGCGUUGGCCGAAGAUGGAAAUUCCGGCGAUCGCGAUACGAUUUCGGAUGGUCAUGCGGUGACAUCGCGAGGAUCACAUCGCGGAGAUGGAGGGAUCGCGGACAUCGCGAAAUUUACCAUGGAAGAUUAGACGUAAUUAGAAUUUACGCUCCUACGUUAAAUUUAUUUAGCGUAGGGGGUUAUGUGUAAAAGGUAGAGCCAACCUUGGGGUUAUAAAUAUGUGGCACCUAGGGUUGAGAGGGUUUGGGGCCUUUUUGCUACAGUGCCGCGGUUACUAUUCACGGGCGUAAAUAGUAACGGUGCUGCUACAGUAACAGAGAACCACCUUUCUCCCCUUUUGUCUAGCCUAGGGUUUCAAAUCAUAGCGAGAGAUUUUUAGUUGAUCUCUCCAAUCAAGAGACGGAGGACGAUCGGGCGGAGGCUAGAUGCAAUUUUGUAGAACAAUCACUUGAUUUAAUCAUUUAUUUUUGAGUUGUUCGUUUGCAUCUCGUUGAUCCGAUCUGCAAGGUUGUCGCAGCCGCGUUGCUGGUUGAAUUCCACGCGGGGGACAGAACGGAAUAACCGGCCUACACAGCCCUUCAUCCGCUGCAGCAGCAGGGACUGCACUAGGAGUGCUACCGUUGGUCUCUAUUGCAGUUCACCAGGCGUACCAGUCAGAACGCAGGGUCAAGGUGCUGAAAAGGAUCUGUUGCCGGCCAACUAUUGUGAUCCACGACACACCAAGAGCAAGUAAUCCAUUUUAAUUUUCAUCAUGUGUCACUUUCAGCAAAUAGUGUUCAAUCAUUAGCAUCGUGACUGCUUACUUGUUUAUUUAUUUCACUUAUUUGUCUCUGUCACUAGUUAUAUUUAAUUAUUCUGGUUGGUUAAUUGGUCUAGCUUAUUAAUUAGUUUAUAUGCAUGGUCAGCCGAGAUUAUUUGUGUUAAUUAUUUAAUUAAACACCAAUACAUAUCAUUUGUGUUUUACUUCCUUAUUUUAUAGUUAAUUAUUUCCGCUGCUUGUUUAGGGUGAUAUUUGGUUUUGCUUGUAUCGAGAAAUUUUAUUGGGCUCCCAUUCACCCACCUCUGGUCGCCGUUUCAGUCCUACAGCCACCACCUUGCCUUUGUUGACGAGCGCCGCUGCCUUUUCGUGGCUCACCAUCACCAGCAGGCAGCAGCUUCGACGUCCGGCUGCCGAGGACCAUGAGUCCAUAAACAAUAGCCACGAUGACGUUGUGCCUCCGCUUCUCAUCACUGGCCGCGGUGCCCGAUAAGAGACUUGACCGUGCACUUGGUCGGGCACGUGGCAUGGCAUCGACCAGCCCCCGAACGGCACGUUCAUCUCAUCGUCAUCGACAUAUCAACGUAGAGCACGGCCAAUCUCAGUCCGGAGCAUGUGGCACUAAACUUGGCCAAACGGGCGGCACGAUCCUAGCACCAUACCGUGCCGUCUCGGGUCAUCGUACCAAACUUUCGGCCUAGACACGACACUAUGGCUUCUUAGCCGUACCGUGACGUGCCGAUAGGCACGGUGGCUCAUCGUGCCUGUGGCGACAUGUGGUUUUGGAAGGAGUUGAGAAGUUUGUCGGGCCCUGCUUCAAGGAGAAGACAGACGCCACCGUUGUUGUAUAGCCAUGCAGGAGAUUCAAUGGUCAUGAUCUAUCCUCAGAGCAUGAGACAGUGGAAAUAAUCGGGCCGGAGUCUUGCCAACCUAUUAGCCGUGUCAGCACUGCGGGCCGAAGUUGCAGCCCAGGCACUACACUACCACCGAACCGUGCCGUGCGCCCGUGCCUGGACCGUGUUUUUUAGUGUCAUGCUUGUACUGGCCCAUCGUGUUAGUGUCACAUGUGGCACUGGUAAAUAAGGAGGACUGUACAUAGUGUCCGUACACAGUGGUGGAACCAGGGGAGCUAGCAGAAGCAGUGGCCCCCCAAGCUCAGUCAAUUCUUUAAAUACCUAUGUAACUAUUAAUAUUUAUAGUAUAAGAAAUAUCAAUUUUAUCUAUUUUUUUAAGGGAACAUAUCUGGUGCAAACCACAACCUCCGUGAAAACCUGUGCAAACCAUGACAAAAAAGUCAUCUAAAUUCACCAAAAAAAUCACACAUGUAGAUGAUAUGAUGAUACACAACCCUGUAAAAUAUCUUAUCCAAACUCGAAUUCAUUUGUGAGAUAUAAAAAUAACAAAUUUCAAGCCAGAAAAGUGUCCACAGAAUUUGCUAGAAAUUUGUUAUUUUUAUAUCUCACAAAUGAAUUCGAGUUUGGAUAAGAUAUUUUACAGGGUUGUGUAUCAUCAUAUCAUCUACAUGUGUGAUUUUUUUGGUGAAUUUAGAUGACUUUUUUGUCAUGGUUUGCACAGGUUUUCACGGAGGUUGUGGUUUGCACUAGAUAUGUUCCCUUUUUUUAAAUAUGAUGAUUUUGGUAAGAAAUAAUGUAAUAUUUUUUAAAAAGUUCUUCAAACAUAUAAUUAUAUAUAUUUUAUUACAUUAAAAAAUAUAGUCAUAUUUGUUCGGUCUCUCUUAAUCAAACUCGCUGAUUCCGCCACUGCCCGUACACAUCUCUUAACAUCUGGAUUUCAUUUUCAAACAUUGAUGAAAACAAAAUUAUUUAUUGCAACAAUUCGUGUCUUCUCCUUAAGCUCCCCAAGAAACAAAAGAAUUAAUGAGAUCGAUCAAUAAUGUUACGGUACAGCUGCGCUGAACAACGUCAGUCCCUGGACUCCUGUUGUUGAUGAUUGCUACCAGUGCCAGUUGUUUAGUGGCCGCCCUUGGUCAUCCCGCACCCCGUGAUCUCUUUCGGCAGCUGAGCGACGCGCUCGACGCCUUCCUCGAAGACGAUGCCCAUUCCCAUGAAGAAAUGAGACUCGAUGUGGCAAUGGAACGCCCACACGCCGGGGUUGUCAGCCUUGAACCGCAGCGCCGUCCACCCAUACGGAUGCACCGCCACCGUGUUCUUCAGUAUCGGGUCCUUGAGGUUGUACGCCGCCGGGUGCACCGCCGGGUCGAAGCGGCCGAUGCCAUAGCCGAGCACCCAGAAGUCAUGCCCGUGCAGGUGCCACGGGUGCGUCUCGCUCUUGUUGGCCGCCAGCAUGUUGGCGUUCUGCAGCACGACGUCGACGACGGAUCCGAACUGCAGCCGGUACAGCCCGUCGCUGACCGUCGCGUUCGGGUUCCGCUGGACGGCGUAGAUGUCGUACCCCUGGUGCGCGUACGUCUCCGGCGGCGGCCGCUGGUCGAAGGCGCCGAGGAGGCCGUUCUUCAUGGCCACCAGGUAGGGCGUGUGCGGCAGCGUGAAGGAGACGUUGUUGAGCGCCCACUUGAUGUGCCCGUCGAUCUUGUUCUGCGUGUUGAGCAGGAGGAUGGUGCGGUCGGCGCGCGGCGGCGGGGGCUGGACGUGCGCCGGGUGCGCCACCGUCGCCACGCUCUGCCGGAACCGGUACGUGGUGUCGUUCCAGGCCGGACCCGUGGGAGGUGUGGUCGGCGGCGCCUUCCGCGGGCUGCUGCGGCCGCCGUAGUAGCUGAGGACGGCGGUGCCGGUGGGGGUGCCGGGCUCGCGGCUGACGACGUUGGAGGCGAGCCAGUAGUUGCGGUUGGGGUCCUGGUCGGCCUUGAUGAGCACGGAGUAGGUCUCGCCGGAGUAGAUGUUGAGGUUCUUCACCACGAACGGCUUCACGUAGUGCCCGUCGGCCUCCACCACCGUCAUUUCGUGGCCCUGAAAGCAUGGUGCAAUCCGUGGAUCAUUAUUCACAUUCUCAUGUUGUAAACUCUUUGGUAACGGUGAUCGUUACGCUUUCUAAUAAAGCUGGGUGAACGCCUUUGGUCUAAAAAACUCUUUGGUAACUAUUGUAUACGUAUAUAUGAUUUACAAACUCAAAAAUUGACAGAGAUGCAUUCCAUUAGUUAUUGGCAUCGCCUUGCAAAAUGACUCUACAAUCUAGUACAUGCGUCUGAAAGGUCGAUGUUCAAAGCCCGGGAAACUAAGCGAAACAUUGACUGAAUAAACAAGAAAUAUUUUGUCGUGCAGCUGAGCAGGUACCUAGCUCCAUUUCGUUUAGGCCUGUUUUAGUUCCGAAAAAAUUUCAGAUUUCGAUAUUGUAGCAUUUUCGUUUUUAUUUGACAAAAAUUAUUUAAUUAUAAAUUAACUAGACUCAAAAAAUUUAUCUCGUGAUUUACAGACAAACUGUAUAAUUAGUUUUUAUUUUUAUCUAUAUCUAAUGCUUCAUGUAUGUGCCUCAAGAUUUUAUGUGAUAGAAAAUCUUAAAAAGUUUUUCGUUUUUUUGGUGAACUAAACCUUACUCCUUCGUCGCGGUUCAUGAGUAUGUAGGAGUACAUACUUGCAGCUUGCAGAGCAUACAUGUGUUUGGUUGAUGGCCACUGGCCCCACCACACGUCACAGCUUGUGACCCGCUACGUACGAGAAUCUAUAGGCGAUUAUUUGGAACUUGUUUAGUUCCAAAAUAUUUUGUAAAAUGGACACUGUAGCUCUUUCGUUUGUAUUUGACAAAUAUUGUCCAAUCAUGGACUAACUAGGCUCAAAAGAUUUGUCUCGUCAAUUCCGACCAAACUGUGUAAUUAGUUUUUAUUUUUAUCUAUAUUUAGUACUUCAUGCAUGUGUCUAAAGAUUCGAUGUGACGGGAAAUCUGAAAAAUUUUACAAAAUUUUUUGGGAACUAAACAAGGCCUUGGUUGGUGAUUCAAACGAGACUGCCAGACUUUUUUUUUU
rnacentral:lncRNA from 1 species